GGGGAAUCUUGCGCAAUGGGCGAAAGCCUGACGCAGCGACGCCGCGUGCGGGAUGACGGCCUUCGGGUUGUAAACCGCUUUCAGCAGGGACGAAAAUGACGGUACCUGCAGAAGAAGCCCCGGCUAACUACGUGCCAGCAGCCGCGGUAAUACGUAGGGGGCAAGCGUUGUCCGGAUUUAUUGGGCGUAAAGAGCUCGUAGGCGGUUUCGUAAGUCGGUUGUGAAAAAUCUGGGCUCAACCCAGUUCAGCAGCCGAUACUGCGAUGACUAGAGUACGGUAGAGGAGUGUGGAAUUCCUGGUGUAGCGGUGAAAUGCGCAGAUAUCAGGAGGAACACCGACGGCGAAGGCAGCACUCUGGGCCGGUACUGACGCUGAGGAGCGAAAGCGUGGGGAGCAAAC
rnacentral:rRNA from 1 species